rnacentral:rRNA from 1 species
GACGAACGCUGGCGGCGUGCUUAACACAUGCAAGUCGAACGCUGAAGACCUGGCUUUUGUUGGGUUGGAUGAGUGGCGAACGGGUGAGUAACACGUGAGUAACCUGCCCUCUUCUUUGGGAUAACGCCCGGAAACGGGUGCUAAUACUGGAUAUUCACUGGCCUUCGCAUGGGGGUUGGUGGAAAGGUUUGUUCUGGUGGGGGAUGGGCUCGCGGCCUAUCAGCUUGUUGGUGGGGUGAUGGCCUACCAAGGCUUUGACGGGUAGCCGGCCUGAGAGGGUGACCGGUCACAUUGGGACUGAGAUACGGCCCAGACUCCUACGGGAGGCAGCAGUGGGGAAUAUUGCACAAUGGGCGAAAGCCUGAUGCAGCGACGCCGCGUGAGGGAUGGAGGCCUUCGGGGUGGAAACCUCUUUCGCUCAUGGUCAAGCCGCAACUGUGGGUUGUGGUGAGGGUAGUGGGUAAAGAAGCGCCGGCUAACUACGUG